AACUCUAGAAGUAUCUUCUCUCCACUCUCUCACUCUCCUCCAUAAAAAUCUCAUUGCAAUCAGAAAGUAUCAUCAUCUCUUUACUCCUCCAAGGCCAAAUUCUCGAGUGACUCCUCUACCAAUAGAAUUCAAGAACAAAUCACUACUACUCAAAAUCAAACACCCAACCCCGAUUAAUUUUUACUCCGAUUGAAUCAAAUCCUUCAAACGAAUCUCGAAUCACUCAAUUUUAUGAAAAUUCUCUGAUUUUUUUAAAACAAGGGGAUUGAAAUUACAUGAAGAAUUAGUUUAGUUAAGGUGGAAGAGUGUGUAAAUUGACUGGAAGUUACAUCGGAGAAAUUACAAUUGGCUGCAAAUGCUCCAACGAAAAGUCCUUGAAGGAAAGAGUGUAUGAUACGCCUAAAGCGUAAUAGACCAAUCUAUUCCAAAUGUAACAUUUCUUGAAGAAGGAGAGGAGAAAAUGAUCAAUAUGGUCAUGAUAAUGAGGCAAGUGCUAUAAGAGAGCACCACGACAUAACACUUCAUAAAACCUUGGAAAAAGUUCAGGUACCUGAAAAUGAUGAAAAAUGAAGAGAUCUCAAUAAGUUAUGUCAUGUUGGAAUCGAUAUCAAAUAACCGUCGAUGGUAUCUUUGAUAUGAGGUAGCGUUCAAUGAAAUAAAUUGUAACAGGGAUCUUGAAUUUAAAUCUGUCAUAGAGUGUUGACAGAUAAAUGAUUGGCAAAGUAGUUGCAUAAUUCAAGUAUAUUUUGUUUUACUUAGAAAAGUGACUUUUUGGAUUGACAGUCCAUAAAUCAAGAUGUAAUGUCAGUAGGGUACAAAUAAAUUAUUAUAAGAUACUAUAACCGUUAGAUAUCAAGUACGGCUUGUGCCUUGGAGAUGUUUUUUCCUAUGAUGGAUGCAAUGAGAUUUGUUUUGAUUUUA